GGCGAGUGGCGGACGGGUGAGUAACGCGUGAGAAUCUGCCUCAUGGACGGGGAUAACAGUGGGAAACUGCUGCUAAAACCCGAUGUGCCCCAAGGGGUGAAAUAUUAAUAGCCAAGAGAGGAGCUCGCGUCUGAUUAGCUAGUUGGUGAGAUAAAAGCUCACCAAGGCGACGAUCAGUAGCUGGUCUGAGAGGAUGAACAGCCACACUGGGACUGAGACACGGCCCAGACUCCUACGGGAGGCAGCAGUGGGGAAUUUUCCGCAAUGGGCGAAAGCCUGACGGAGCAAGACCGCGUGUGGGAGGAAGGUCUAUUGAUUGUAAACCACUUUUCCAAGGAAAGAAAAAAAUGACGGUACCUUGGGAAUAAGCAUCGGCUAACUCUGUGCCAGCAGCCGCGGUAAUACAGAGGAUGCAAGCGUUAUCCGGAAUUAUUGGGCGUAAAGAGUCCGUAGGGGGCUAAUCAAGUCUGUUGUUAAAGACCGCAGCUAAACUGCGGGCAAGCAAUGGAAACUGAAGAGCUAGAGAGCAGUAGGGGCAGAGGGAAUUCCCAGUGUAGCGGUGAAAUGCGUAGAGAUUGGGAAGAACAUCGGUGGCGAAAGCGCUCUGCUGGGCUGAAUCUGACCCUGAGGGACGAAAGCUAGGGGAGCAAAAGGGAUUAGAUACCCCUGUAGUCCUAGCCGUAAACGAUGGAAACUAGGCGUAGCCUGACUCGACCCAGGCUGUGCCGAAGCAAACGCGUUAAGUUUCCCGCCUGGGGAGUACGCACGCAAGUGUGAAACUCAAAGGAAUUGACGGGGGCCCGCACAAGCGGUGGAGUAUGUGGUUUAAUUCGAUGCAACGCGAAGAACCUUACCAGGGCUUGACAUGUCGUG
rnacentral:rRNA from 1 species